AUUAACUUCGGUUAAUUUUAGUGGCGGACGGGUGAGUAACACGUGAGAAUUCGCCUUUAGGAGGGGGAUAACGGAUGGAAACAUUCGCUAAAACCCCAUAUGCCCCUGGGUGAAACAGAGGAGAUAAGUAAUACUGACUCUUACCUCUGCCUGAAGAGAAGCUCGCGGCUGAUUAGCUAGUUGGUAGGGUAAAGGCCUACCAAGGCGACGAUCAGUAGCUGGUCUGAGAGGACGAUCAGCCACACUGGAACUGAGACACGGUCCAGACUCCUACGGGAGGCAGCAGUGAGGAAUUUUCUGCAAUGGGCGAAAGCCUGACAGAGCAAUACCGCGUGAGGGAUGAAGACUUACUGAGUUGUAAACCUCGGUACCUUAAGGAAGAAGAUCUGACGGUACUUAAGGUGGAAAGCAUCGGCUAACUGCGUGCCAGCAGCCGCGGUAAGACGGGGGAUGCAAGUGUUAUCCGGAUUUACUGGGCGUAAAGCGUCUGCAGGUGGUUUUCUAAGUCUACUGUUAAAUCUUGAGGCUCAACCUCAAAUCUGCAGUAGAAACUAGAAGACUUGAGUAUAGUAGGGGUAGAGGGAAUUUCCAGUGGAGCGGUGAAAUGCGUAGAUAUUGGAAAGAACACCCGAUGGCGAAGGCACUCUACUGGGCUAUUACUGACACUCAGAGACGAAAGCUAGGGGGAGCAAAUGGGGAUUAGAUACCCCAGUAGUCCUAGCCGUAAACGAUGGGAUACUCGAUG
rnacentral:rRNA from 1 species